rnacentral:rRNA from 1 species
GACGAACGCUGGCGGCGUGCUUAACACAUGCAAGUUGAACGGAAAGGCCCUGCUUUUGUGGGGUGCUCGAGUGGCGAACGGGUGAGUAACACGUGAGUAACCUGCCCUUGACUUUGGGAUAACUUCAGGAAACUGGGGCUAAUACCGGAUAGGAGCUCCUGCUGCAUGGUGGGGGUUGGAAAGUUUCGGCGGUUGGGGAUGGACUCGCGGCUUAUCAGCUUGUUGGUGGGGUAGUGGCUUACCAAGGCUUUGACGGGUAGCCGGCCUGAGAGGGUGACCGGCCACGUUGGGACUGAGAUACGGCCCAGACUCCUACGGGAGGCAGCAGUGGGGAAUAUUGCACAAUGGGCGGAAGCCUGAUGCAGCAACGCCGCGUGCGGGAUGACGGCCUUCGGGUUGUAAACCGCUUUCGCCUGUGACGAAGCGUGAGUGACGGUAAUGGGUAAAGAAGCACCGGCUAACUACGUG